rnacentral:rRNA from 1 species
UCGAGGGAGAACGGACUUCGGGUUCGGGGAGACCGGCGAACGGGUGAGUAACACGUGAGGAACCUGCCCUGUAGACCGGAAUAACCACGGGAAACUGUGGCUAAUGCCGGAUAAUCUUUCAGGCCCGCAUGGGUAUGGAAGGAAAUGGUCCGCCGCUACAGGAUGGCCUCGCGGCCUAUCAGCUCGUUGGUGAGGUAAUGGCUCACCAAGGCGACGACGGGUAGCUGGCGUGAGAGCGCGACCAGCCACACUGGGACUGAGACACGGCCCAGACUCCUACGGGAGGCAGCAGUAGGGAAUCUUGCGCAAUGGGCGAAAGCCUGACGCAGCGACGCCGCGUGCGGGAAGAAGGCCUUCGGGUUGUAAACCGCUUUCAGGAGGGAAGAAGCGAAAGUGACGGUACCUCCAGAAGAAGCCCCGGCCAACUACGUGCCAGCAGCCGCGGUAAUACGUAGGGGGUAAGCGUUGUCCGGAAUUAUUGGGCGUAAAGAGCUCGUAGGCGGUCCUUUAAGUCGGGUGUGAAAUCUCAGGGCUCAACCCUGAAACCGCACCCGAUACUGAAGGACUUGAGGCAGGUAGGGGAAGGUGGAAUUCCUGGUGUAGCGGUGAAAUGCGCAGAUAUCAGGAGGAACACCCGUGGCGAAGGCGCCCUUCUGGGCCUGUUCUGACGCUGAGGAGCGGAAGCGUGGGACAACAG